UGAACAAGGAGCUGCACGUGUGUCUGAAGCCCUUGGAGGGGGAAAGGAAUCCUUGAGAGGAAGUAGAAUGGUCAUUGUGGCAGUGAUCCUUCAGAAAAUCCAUGAAAAUGGACCAUGAAUCUGGCCAUCCACUCGAGUAGAACUAGCCUUUGGUUUUGACCCAUCCAGUCUGAGAAGUGGACAUCAGAAAAAACCCACUUAAGAGCCCUGCAUGUUGCUGACAGCACCUUCCUAAGGGCUUGCAUUUGAAAUGGAAUCUCAGGCUAAUCUCUGCCAGCCACCUUUCUGACAUAAACUCAUUUCUUGUCCCAGAUCUACAAGGGCUUUGUCACCAAACCUGCUGCAGCAGCAGCAUGGUCUAAAGGAGCCUUUGCUCUCCACCCUGAGAAGCGGAGCCGGGGCGGUUUGCUCAUCUCCAGUGCUGACCCAGCUGCUGCUCAGCAACAGGAGAUCAAGGAUGACUCCCUGGAGCUACGGAGGAAAAUAGUGAACAUGGAAAAUCCUGUGAUGAAAUACACGGAACUGGAACAUAUUGGCAGAGGGACUUUUGGAGAUGUUUGCAUAGCACUUGACAAUGCCACAGGAG